UGCCCUAGUAACGGCGAGUGAAGCGGCAACAGCUCAAAUUUGAAAUCUGGCCCUAGGCCCGAGUUGUAAUUUGUAGAGGAUGCUUUUGGUGACGCGCCUACCGAGUCCCCUGGAAUGGGGCGCCACAGAGGGUGAGAGCCCCGUAUGGUUUGCCGCCGAGCCUCUGUAAAGCUCCUUCGACGAGUCGAGUAGUUUGGGAAUGCUGCUCUAAAUGGGAGGUAAAUUUCUUCUAAAGCUAAAUACCGGCCAGAGACCGAUAGCGCACAAGUAGAGUGAUCGAAAGAUGAAAAGCACUUUGAAAAGAGGGUUAAAUAGCACGUGAAAUUGUUGAAAGGGAAGCGCUUGUGACCAGACUCGCGCCGGGCGGAUCAUCCAGCGUUCUCGCUGGUGCACUCCGCCCGGCUCGGGCCAGCAUCGGUUUUCGCCGGGGGAUAAAAGCCUCGGGAACGUGGCCCCCUUCGGGGGGUGUUAUAGCCCGUGGCAGAAUACCCCGGCGGGGACCGAGGACCGCGCUUCGGCAAGGAUGCUGGCGUAAUGGUCACCAGCGACCCGUCUUGAAACACGGACC
rnacentral:rRNA from 1 species